rnacentral:rRNA from 1 species
GACGAACGCUGGCGGCGUGCUUAACACAUGCAAGUCGAGCGGAAAGGCCCUUCGGGGUACUCGAGCGGCGAACGGGUGAGUAACACGUGAGUAACCUGCACCAGACUUUGGGAUAACCCUCGGAAACGGGGGCUAAUACCGGAUACGACACAGCUUCGCAUGGGGUCUGUGUGGAAAGUUUUUCGGUUUGGGAUGGGCUCGCGGCCUAUCAGCUUGUUGGUGGGGUGGUGGCCUACCAAGGCGACGACGGGUAGCCGGCCUGAGAGGGCGACCGGCCACACGGGGACUGAGACACGGCCCAGACUCCUACGGGAGGCAGCAGUGGGGAUUAUUGCACAAUGGGCGGAAGCCUGAUGCAGCGACGCCGCGUGAGGGAUGACGGCCUUCGGGUUGUAAACCUCUUUCAGCAGGGACGAAGCGUAAGUGACGGAACCGGCAGAAGAAGCGCCGGCCAACUACGG